AACAAUAACACAAACACUCGUAUAUCUCCAGGGAAAUGGCCUGGAAGUUUCUACCUGCUACCAAUUAUUAGCAGACUAUGAGGUGUAAUAUAG
rnacentral:ncRNA from 1 species